rnacentral:rRNA from 1 species
GACAGAGGGGGCAAGCGUUGCUCGGAAUUACUGGGCGUAAAGCGCAUGUAGGCGGAUCCAUAAGUCGGGCGUGAAAUCCCCAGGCUCAACCUGGGAACUGCGCUCGAAACUGUGGGUCUUGAGUGUCGGAGAGGAUGGCGGAAUUCCUGGUGUAGAGGUGAAAUUCGUAGAUAUCAGGAGGAACACCGGUGGCGAAGGCGGCCAUCUGGACGACAACUGACGCUGAGAUGCGAAAGCGUGGGGAGCAAACAGGG